UCUCUCUCUGCCCCCACCUCCCUUGACACUUGGCAGCUGUGCAAUAGGGACUCCAAACUGCGUCUCCCCCUGUGAUCCUGGACUCCGGAUACAAUUAGCAAAAAUUACAAAGGUGUAUUUGGAAGUUACAGAAACUAGACAAAUCAACAGUCACAUUGCCGGCGAAGCCAGACGAGGAAGCAGUUUAAGCUGUGAAUUUCUUCUUCACCCCACAUAGAACAGUGACGACCAUCAUUUUUGUCUUCACCAUAGAGAGAUGCUUUGUGAACAAGGUGAGGAUUUAAUGCUUUUUAUUUCUCUCAUGAGGGUACACUGCCCUUUCUUUUGGU
rnacentral:lncRNA from 1 species